GAUGAACGCUAGCGGCAGGCCUAAUACAUGCAAGUCGAACGGUGAAGCAAUACACAGUGGCGCACGGGUGCGUAACACGUAUGCAACCUACCUUACAUUGGGGGAUAGCCUUUCGAAAGGGAGAUUAAUACCGCAUAAGACAGUAACUAGGCAUCUAGUAGCUGUUAAAGAUUUAUCGAUGUAAGCUGGGCAUGCGUCCAAUUAGUUAGUUGGCGAGGUAAUGGCUCACCAAGACGAUGAUUGGUAGGGGAACUGAGAGGUCAAUCCCCCACACUGGCACUGAGAUACGGGCCAGACUCCUACGGGAGGCAGCAGUAGGGAAUAUUGGGCAAUGGGCGCAAGCCUGACCCAGCCAUGCCGCGUGCAGGAAGAAGGCGUUAUGCGUUGUAAACUGCUUUUAUACAGGAAGAAACGACCCUUGCGAGGGGCAUUGACGGUACUGUAUGAAUAAGCACCGGCUAACUCCGUGCCAGCCGCCGCCGUAAAAC
rnacentral:rRNA from 1 species